rnacentral:rRNA from 1 species
UACGGAGGGUGCAAGCGUUAUCCGGAUUUACUGGGUUUAAAGGGUGUGUAGGCGGGUCAUUAAGUCAGCGGUGAAAUCCCGGAGCUCAACUCCGGAACUGCCAUUGAUACUAUUGAUCUUGAAUCCUGUUGAGGUGGGCGGAAUACAUCAUGUAGCGGUGAAAUGCUUAGAGAUGAUGUAGAACACCGAUUGCGAAGGCAGCUCACUAAGCAGGUAUUGACGCUGAGGCACGAAAGCGUGGGGAUCAAACAGGAUUAGAUACCCUGGUAGUCCACGCCCUAAACGAUGAUUACUCGACGUGCGCGAUAUACGGUGCGCGUCUGAGCGAAAGCAUUAAGUAAUCCACCUGGGAAGUACGACCGCAAGGUUGAA